CCUACGGGAGGCAGCAGUAGGGAAUAUUGCACAAUGGGCGAAAGCCUGAUGCAGCAACGCCGCGUGUGCGAAGAAGGCCUUCGGGUCGUAAAGCACUUUUCUGAGAGAUGAGCAAGGACAGUAUCUCAGGAAUAAGUCUCGGCUAACUACGUGCCAGCAGCCGCGGUAAAACGUAGGAGGCAAGCGUUAUCCGGAUUCACUGGGCGUAAAGCGCGUGCAGGCGGUUCGGUAAGUUGGGCGUGAAAUCUUCUGGCUUAACUGGGAGAGGUCGUUCAAUACUGCCGGGCUUGAGAGCGGUAGAGGAAGAUGGAAUUCCCGGUGUAGUGGUGAAAUGCGUAGAUAUCGGGAGGAACACCAGUGGCGAAAGCGAUCUUCUGGACCGUUUCUGACGCUCAGACGCGAAAGCUAGGGUAGUAAACGGGAUUAGAGACCCCGGUAAUCCUAGCUGUAAACGAUGCAAACUUGGCGUCGGUGGCUUAAACUCCAUCCGUGCCGUAGCUAACGCGAUAAGUCCGCCGCCUGGGGACUACGACCGCAAGGUUAAAACUCAAAGGAAUUGACGG
rnacentral:rRNA from 1 species